AGUGCAGUGACGGAGCCCAGAACGUCACACCUGUCAGGCGAGUGCUGUUCUUGUGUGGGGCCUACAGAAAGCCGUACUGCAGAGCUGACUCAAAUCCCAACCUGUGAGGAUCGCUGUGAACAUUCACCAUGCUUCUAGAAAGAGAGACUUCCUGCAUGGAGAAGCUUACCCUGGAGAGGCAGCCCCAGGGAUGCCCAGUAGUACCUCAGUGAAAUUCCUGGCAGAGACAACAUUUGCAGUCUUCAUAGGCAUUCUGCUAAGCUGCACACAGUCAUGGAGAGAGAAGCUGUUUGUCUUGUGUUCAUUUUGAAGGGAUCUUGAGCAGCAGAACCUCGGUGGGGGUGGGGGGUGCCAGUUAGGCUCCCAACCCACCCAGAAGGGAUGAUGUUCAAGGUCCCAGCCAUAGGUGUGUAAUACCGACUCGCCGUAGUACCGGAAGACCGUGUGGCUGACAAAAAAGGUGAAGAUAAACAGCCAAAGCUCCAUGAGCAUCUCCUAGAAGAUCAGUACCUCAUUCAGCCACCAUUAGAGAAGCUUCCUCCUGCAGCAGAUGGGAACAGAUACGGUGAUAUCACACAGAGAAUGAGAAGAGAGAGACCUUGGAACACUCAGCCUUAAAUCGGAUGUCUCCAUCAAAGUCCUCACCUUGGGGCUCAGAGAAGCCUGCAGAAGAGGAGGCAGAAAGACCAUCAGAACCAGAGGUGACGGAGGACACCAAGAAAACAAGGUCCUCUGGAUCAACAUGCACAAACAUAGAACUGCACCAGGUUCUAAGAGAGUGUAUCCUGGCUUCCAGUUCAGUGUUUUUUGUGGGAUUCCUGAGUGCGGGAAAGAGUGGACCUCUGAUUUUUGUGCCUUUUCUUGGGCCCUCUUUCUUCUAUUCAUUUGUCCUGUCCAACUUCAGUGUGAUAGAUUUUGUUUUAGCUUACUAUAGUUUUAGUUUUAAAAAUGAA